AUGUACUCGUGUUCCCCAUUGCAGGUGGCCACAGAUCGUAUCACACCUGCCGGGCUGGACGGACAACGAGAUCAAGAGCUUCUGGAGCAGCUGCAUCAGAAGAAGCUCCGCCAGCAAGGCAUCGACCCGACCACGCACAAGCCUAUGGCUGCCGCCGACACGGCCACGGCGGCAUUGCCGGACGUGGGAGAGGAUGACCGUAAGCCCCCUGCCGCGGAGGUUGACGGCAGCCUCGGUCCGAAGCAGCCGGCGGUUUCGCCCUCUUCCCCGUGUGCGCUGACUACGGCAGCAGGUUCGUCGAGGACCUCGGCGCGGCGAACGCUGCGCCAUUGUAUGGCCAGUUCGGCGGCGGCAUGGAGGGCGUGGACGACGACGCCGGGUUCGGCGCCGGCGACUACAGUGACGUGCUGGACGUGUCGGAGAACCUGGGCUGCGGGGAGACCUCGAGCAACAGCAGCAACUGGAACCACGUCGGCGAGGUGGGCAGCGUGCUGGACGGCGAGGUGCUGCACUGGGCCAAGGCGGGGCAGGCCUUCGCGAACAUGGAGCGGCAGCACGACGCGCCGCUGCUCGCUGGAGCACAAGUUCUUGCCGUGCCAAGAACAGAGCCUCCUCGCAAGUUUCGAUUUCAACUUGGAACUAUACUCCCGAUAUUUUCUUUCUUCUUCCAUUUUUUACCCUGUUAAAUUAUCUCGAUUCCCGCCAAACAUGCAACACCUAGCUAGGUGGUUCAGGAACAUGGUUGUAAUUUUUAUUAUCUGUGUUACUCUUUAUACUGUUACGAUUGAAAAUAAAUAG
rnacentral:rRNA from 1 species